rnacentral:misc_RNA from 1 species
UUCCUUCAGAUUCUGCUCUCUUGGUUGCAAGAUUGUUGGGACUUCAAAGAACUUCGUUAAGAGGCCAAAACAAUCGCCGGAGAAGAAGAAGUCCUCGCCGGCUGCUGCAGCCGCCGUCUAUGACUCAGAGGAUUCCUACAGCAGCAGCAGCCAUGGCCGGCAGAACAGCACAAGCAACAAGGUCCACCAAAGUUUCAGUCCGUCAACGCCCCCUCCAACUUCAGUUAAUUACAGAACAGCCAAGCGAAGAAAGGGGAUUCCGCAUCGAGCCCCAAUGGGAGGACUAGUUAUAGGUUAUUAAGUCUUAGAAAAAUCAAAAAUCAAAAUCGAAGUCCUUCAUUUGCUCCUAAUUAUACAUUAGUAAAAAAGAUCAGAAUGCAGAAUGCAGAAACUUCUCCGUCAAAAACACUAGUGCUUUCUUUCUUCUCUAGAGAAGGCCAGUGUUUGCUUUAUUGUGUAUAUACUUUUUAGCUACUAUAGUGUAUGUUGGGAUAAGUUGGAGGGGUGGAAGUUGAAAUAAGAAAAUGUUAAGGGACCAAUACGGAAAACUUAGUUGGGCUUAGAAAAUAAGCUAUAUAUUAUAUUAAAUAUUAUAUAGUAUGAUGAAAUAUCAAGAUACAGUGACUCUUGGCUUUUUAGAGUGAUUAUACAUAAGUU